AUCUGCAGCAAGAAAAGUGAAACACGUAUUUGCUAAUGAUUUAAACCCCUUUGCGGUUGAAUAUCUGGAAAGGAAUUGUGUCCUCAACAAACUUGAGAGGAAGAUAGAAGUUUUUAACAUGGAUGGAAGGAGGUUCAUUGAUGCUAUGUUUGCAAGUCAAAAAGCUCAAUCCAUCACACAAGUGGUUAUGAAUUUGCCAAAUGACGCUGCAGAGUAUCUAGAUGUAUUCAGGGGAAUAUUUAGAACAAAGCCCAAGUAGAGAGAAAUUACCUUGCCAAAGAUCCAUGUUUAUGGAUUCUCAAAAGCAACGUCAAAUAUAUGGAUGAUGGAUGAUGGAUGAUCUCGUGCACGAAGCA